AGAAUGAACGUUGGCGGCGUGGAUUAGGCAUGCAAGUCGAACGGGCCGCAAGGCCAGUGGCGGAAGGGUGAGUAAGGCGACGGUAACCAACCCCAUGGUUGGGUAUAGCCGCGGGAAACUGCGGGUAAUCCCCAGCGACGUCCGAGCCGGGCAUCCGGCACGGACCAAAGUCCUGGCGCCGUGGGACGGGCCGUCGUGGUAUUAGGUAGUUGGCGGGGUAACGGCCCACCAAGCCUAUGAUGCCUACCGGGCGUGCGAGCGUGGCCCGGCACACUGGGACUGAGACACUGCCCAGACUCCUACGGGAGGCUGCAGUCGAGAAUCUUCGGCAAUGGGCGCAAGCCUGACCGAGCGACGCCGCGUGGAGGAUGAAGGCCUUCGGGUUGUAAACUCCUGUCGAGGGGAGGAAGGUCGGGUAACCGGCUUGACCGAUCCCUGGAGGAAGCACGGGCUAAGUUCGCGCCAGCAGCCGC
rnacentral:rRNA from 1 species